AGCAGCCGCGGUAAUUCCAGCUCCAAUAGCGUAUAUUAAAGUUGUUGCAGUUAAAAAGCUCGUAGUUGAAUUUCGGGGUUCUACCGUUGGUCAGGCUAUUGUCUGUACUGGCGUGUAGAAUUUCUACCUUCUGGGGAACUAUCAUGUUAUUAAUUUAGCGUGGUAGGAAACCAGGACCUUUACCUUGAAAAAUUAGAGUGUUCAAAGCAGGCUUAUGUCUGAAUACAUUAGCAUGGAAUAAUAAAAUAGGACGUGGUCCUGUUUGUUGGUUUCUGAAUUCACCGUAAUGAUUAAUAGGGAUAGUUGGGGGCAUUAGUAUUCAAUUGUCAGAGGUGAAAUUCUUGGAUUUAUUGAAGACUAACUACUGCGAAAGCAUUUGCCAAGGAUGUUUUCAUUAAUCAAGAACGAAAGUUAGGGAUCGAAGACGAUCAGAUACCGUCGUAGUCUUAACCAUAAACUAUGCCGACUAGGGAUCGGAUGAUGUUAAUUUUUAUGACUCAUUUCGGCGCCUUACGGGAAA
rnacentral:rRNA from 1 species